CUUUAUCGGAGAGUUUGAUCCUGGCUCAGGACGAACGCUGGCGGCGUGCCUAAUACAUGCAAGUCGAGCGGACAGAUGGGAGCUUGCUCCCUGAUGUUAGCGGCGGACGGGUGAGUAACACGUGGGUAACCUGCCUGUAAGACUGGGAUAACUCCGGGAAACCGGGGCUAAUACCGGAUGGUUGUCUGAACCGCAUGGUUCAGACAUAAAAGGUGGCUUCG
rnacentral:rRNA from 1 species